UCCUGGUGGCUCAGACAGUAAAGAAUCUGCCUGCAAUGCAGGAGACCCAGGUUCAAUCCCUGGAUCAGGAA
rnacentral:tRNA from 1 species